UGACUUGUUAGCUCAGUGGGAGAGCACUUCCUUGACAGGGAAGGGGUCGGGGGUUCAAGUCCCUCACAGGUCAUCCA
rnacentral:tRNA from 1 species